rnacentral:tRNA from 1 species
AUCAAUAUAGUAUAAAAAUUAUUCUUAGCUUCCAACUAAGAGAUCUUCCACAAGUAUUGAUA